UACAGAGGGGGCUAGCGUUGUUCGGAAUUACUGGGCGUAAAGGGCGCGUAGGUGGCUGCGUAAGUAAGGUGUGAAAGCCCUCGGCUUACCCGGGGAAUUGCGCCUUAUACUGCGUGGCUUGAGGAUCUCAGGGGAAGGGGGAACUCCAGGUGUAGCGGUGAAAUGCGCAGAUAUCUGGGGGAAGGCCGGCGGCGAAGGCGCCCUUCUGGGAGAUUCCUGACACUGAGGCGCGAAAGCGUGGGGAGCAAACAGG
rnacentral:rRNA from 1 species